rnacentral:rRNA from 1 species
GAUCAUGGCUCAGGACGAACGCUGGCGGCGUGCUUAACACAUGCAAGUCGAACGAAGAGCGAUGGAAGCUUGCUUCUAUCAAUCUUAGUGGCGAACGGGUGAGUAACACGUAUCCAACCUGCCGAUAACUCGGGGAUAGCCUUUCGAAAGAAAGAUUAAUACCCGAUGGCAUAAUUAGACCGCAUGGUCUUAUUAUUAAAGAAUUUCGGUUAUCGAUGGGGAUGCGUUCCAUUAGGCAGUUGG